CAAAUUAACAAAAGGGAGCCACCACAAUUCAACCUUGUUCCAAAUGAAAGAAUAAACAGACAUCUCUGUCUAGAUCCUUCCAAUAAAUCGUUUGCCUCCUCUUCCCUCUUUCUAGACUCUCUGUGCCCGCUCAUUGGCUAUCAUGGCAUUUUUCGAGUCUCUCAUUUCCUUCUCGAAAUCUUCCAGGAUUUCCUGAUUCUCCUGCCCUCAUUCAAGACUCCAGCUGUGCCUCUGAAGACACCCCUCACCCCAUCCAAGCCUCCACCUCCUCAUCGGUCCCAGCAGCUACUCCAGAGUCUACGGGCCCGAGGCACCAGCACCACCCACACCAGCACUCGAUGGUGACAGUGACUCUCCAUCACUGCUCACGAGCAGCGACCCAGGAGCCAGCUUGUUUGGGUGGAAAUCCCGGCUGGGUCACCUAAGAUCUGCAGGCCAUUGGGCAGUUAGUUCAAUGAGGAAACUUGGGCUCUGGCUUCCCCGUCUGUCCAAAUGGGUCAUAACAGGACCUUCCUUCAGGGGUUUGCAAGGGGAGUGAGUUGAAGAACAGGGCCUGCACACAGGUAGCUGUUAGGUACCUCUAUUUGAGCCGCCAUCACCACCCUGGGAUCCUACCUUCUGCCUUAACCUACCCAACUGGGCCUAUUUCCCCUGGGAAGCUCGCUCUCUAACCAGGGCCUCUGAGUCAAAUGCCUGGGCGAAGUGAAGGUGAUGCGAUGCUAACAACACAGUGCCCGGACAUCAGGGAGCCUGGCCACUCAGGUCCAGUGACACCUGCCCCGUGGCAAGGCGGGCCCAGUGCUGCCACAUCUCCAGGUUAUCAGGAGAAGCCAGAAAUCUGAACGCUGAUGCGAAAAUCCCUGACUUUUAUGCACUGGCAAUGAAGUCAUACAUCAGAAUCGCUCUGUCUGACAAACAAAACCCAUCCGAGUGCCAGAUCGGGUCCCUCCCUGGCCCAUCGGUCUGUGCCGUCUGUGGGGUGGCGUGAGGUCACAUACAACUUGUGCUUCUGCACACAUGUCCCCCAUGGGGCCCCAGCCGAGCUGCUCGUCCUCACCUCCUCAGACCCAGAGUCCUCAAGGCCACCUUCUCUGACCACACCCUCCCGGCUGCAGCUCUUCGAGGGCCUUCUGCUGAUCCGUGCCCCAUCCCCCCACCACAGUGCAUCAGAGGCACUUAGCAGGGAUCUGUAGGAGAGCUAAGUGCUUUAACGACACUCACAUAUCGAUUUAGAGCUUUUUUAAUUCCUCCACUUGAAUUUCCCGAACACGGCGCAUCCGCCCCAUGAAAUGUCCUGGAGGCUAAGUUCCCAAAGGCCAGGGGCCCCUCUGCCAGGUUCUCCCCCAGACCCAUCUUCCCGCACACAGAGAGUGUGGGACUCGGCACCCCUGGAUCCUUCUCCUGAUGAAGGCACGGAAGGCUGAGGGCCCAGGGCGCUGUUAGAUGUCUUUUGGAGAAAUUUAUAGUCAUGCCAACACGUCUGUCUCCACAAGCCAUGUGCCCACGCUGACACUUCCUGGUCCUGUAUCUACAACCGCGGGAUUUCAGUGCUUCCCCAAAUCUCCAACUGUGUAGGGUCAAGUCAAACCCAAGGAGACACUGUCAAUCUCCACGUACAUCAGGCACAGGCUGUCCCCUAAGAGGAGUAUGGGUGCUCUUCAUUCAUUCACUCAUUCAUUCAUUCGCCAAGCGUCAACUCACUCCAUGGCAGACACAGUACCGAGAAGAGGAAUGGCCAGAAAAAUUAAGUCCCAAAAGUCCUAUGGCAGAAGUCUCCUCCUGCAAACACAGAAUGCCAGGGGCCAGAUGGGACCUCAAGAAAUGAUCCUACCCAGCACUCCCAUCGGAUGAGGCCCAGAGGUGACCGUCAACGCUGCCUGUCUGCUUGGCUCUGAGGGAGGGUGCAAAGAGCAUUGGAUCAGGAGGUCCCUGCUCCUGGUCCAAUGCUCUUUUCAGAGAACCUUGCAAAAUAUUCUAGACAGGAUUCUCAUGAAACCAUUAAGGAGGCCUGGCAUCUAGGCUCAGAGGUUAGCAAACAGUGACCUUCCAGGAAACAUGAUCCUCAUCAAUGUCCUUGAGAAAAUGGCCCUUGGGAGAGGCCAUCAGUGCCUUCCUACACCACUCCAGAACCAUCCCCAGCAGGUCUCACGCUUUUUUUGGCUCAUAUCCCAGUGCACCUAAGGGACAACCCCCUGUUCAUGGGUGAUGGAGGUUCACAAGGAGACUGAAGGGUGGGGCGAGGGGCGGGGUCUGAACACGUACCCAAGGGGCACACCUGAUAUGCCUUUAGUAAGUCUGGUGGCCUGCCUGUCUGCUACGCAGAAGCAGCUGGCACAGCCACGCCCUUCCUCUUGGGCAUCCCCACCCCUCCUUAAGGAUGCCUGCAACCAUUUGCAAAGGGGAGAGCGAGUCCUCUUGCAGGGAACAACUGGCAUUAAAAAAAGCCUCUCCAGGCAACGUGUCUUCAUCUCCCUCAAACUAAAAUCCAUGCAUCAGUAAGACAAUGUCUCCUGUGAUCCAGCGUGUUCCCGUGUGCCCCCCAUGGGGCAGGGGCGGGGGUGGGGCUUACACCUGAGCAGGUGGUUGAUGGACAGCUCAGCACCUAGGGAAGCAGAGGCAGGCGGGGAUCACGGCUGUCUUUGCAGACGCUGAGGUCUCGCCACGUUCCGGGCUGGGUGUCGGUCUAUUUUGGUCACACAGCUGCACCCACGGGAUUUAUGAAGAUGUCUGGCGCUUGGCUCCCGGGAAAUCUAUGUGCCAAGCUGCUGCCCUGUCGCCUGGAAGAAGCGGAACCCUGGCCAGUCUGCCCGUCUCUCCUCACGCCCACUGAGCAGGGUAUAUUCUCAAGUUCUGAUCCCCGUGGCUCGCCCAAGUCACGAGCUUUGGUUUCUUCUUUCUCUGAGUCUCAAGAGUGUCAGGCUCUGCCUUAUAGUGUUUGGCAGCCACUGGCCUCAGUGUUCUCUGUCGGCCUCCUGCAGGGCUGCGUCUUCUUGGUGGAAUUUAGCUUUAUUGAUUUCUAUUUCUGAUGUGCUCGACAUGGCCUCGUUUAUUAUUCAGGGAGAACUUGGCGAUGAGACCACAGUUGAUAUCCUGCCAACAGGAGUCUGAGCAGGUGGAACUUCUGUGGGUCUUCUUUUCAAAGAAUCAGAACCUAUAUAAAAAGCAGGCUCAUUUAUUUCUUUAUUUAGGGCCGCACUCUUGGCAUACGGAGGUUCCCAGGCUCGGGCUCGAAUCGGAGCUACAGCUGCCAGCAGACACCACAGCUACAGCAAUGCAGGAUCCAAGCCACGUCUACGACCUACACCACAGCUCACGGCAACACCGGAUCCUUAACCUACUGAGCAGGGCCAGGGAUUGAACCUACAUCCUCAUGGAUCCUAGUCGGGUUCGUUUCUGCUGAUGCACAAUGGGAACUCCCAUAAAGCAGUGUAGUUUAGGCUCCUCCAAUUACUCAUUUAAGACCUGGUCAAUCUGAAAACCAAACUGUUUUCUGUCGGAGUGGCGGGUUAGUUAGAGCAGGAAAACACAUGGAGUUAUAACCACUCCGCGGCCAAAGGUCCACUCCCUGAAUAAAUCAGUAUAAGUCAGUCAGCUCUGAGCAGAGAAAAACCCCACUGUUCCGUCGGAAAACGAACCCCUUCUUAGCACCCAUCUUGCAGGUGUAUGGUGGGAGGAAUGAGGCAGGGACUGGAGGUCCCCCUCAGUCACCAUUGUCACUGCUCUGCUGACUCACAGGAACACACGGACACAUAAGGCUACAUGCCCAUCCGACUGCCAGGAGCUGAGCACCCCAUCUUCCCCUGGGGCCCACGGGUGCUGAAGAUGAGAGGGACAUUUCCAAGAUGCUCUAUGUGGAUGCGGGGUUAUCAAGCCAUUUAGCUGCUCUGUUGUUUAUUUUCUUCCUCACCGAGCACAUAUGUAAAGGAAAUGAUAUUUAAACCCUAAGAAGAAAAGUUCAAAUUAAAGAGUGGGAAGAGAAGUUCCUUCCAGAAAUUCAGGCUGAAACAUACUCCUGAAGAAAGCAGUCACGUUAUCCUCCAGAGGAAUCAUUUAAGAACAGAACUAAUUACCACCUGUAAGUACCAAUUUGUGCAUAAUCCGAUCCUGGGGGAGGAGGCUGGAUGAGAAAAAUCUCUCAAAAUCCCCUCUGGGCUUCCCCACCAGGGUGAAUUUUCACCGUGAAAAGUCUGAAACACUUGGGGCUCAUUUCCGGUUGAGGUCCCGAUGUGAGAUGCCGCCUGGUCACCGGUCUUCAGCUGGUUUUAGCCUCAGCCUUACGCCGAGUGCUCAGCUAGGGUACCGCGGUGAGCAAGGGGCAGCGUCUCUUUAGAAGACGUCGAGGAAAAGACAGUGGUGUGUGGACGUGUCCCAAACCUUGGGCAUCACAGCCUGACACCAUCGCAGAGACUCGGUAUUUGUUUUCCUCAUUUGUGCAAGUAAACGAGACAUGGUGAAGAAGGAAUGAAGAAAUAAGCAACCGUCCCGUGGCUGAAAACUGGAAUGCCUUUGCACACACACACACACACACACACACACACACACACACACACACACACACACACACACACAGACUAGAGCCAUGGCAAAUGGGGCUUAGAGUCACAUUACAAAAGCGCUGCAGGCCACUUCGUGGGGAGGCAGCGAGAUCCUGGCCCAGUGGUGCUUCCAUGGCCUUUGGGGGGCAAGGGUGUGACACUGGGGUUGGGGGAGAGGCUGAGCCAGGGGACUCUUGGCCUUCAGACCCCUUAGUUCAAACGGAACACUUCUGAUUUCAGGUUUUACGUUAUUUUUAGCAACAAGGGGGAGGAGGAUGAAAGGGAGGGGAAGGAGGAGGGGGAGAGGCUGAGGAGGAAGAAAAAGAGCAAAGGAAAUGAGAGAAGAAAGCUUACCCACCGC
ensembl:lncRNA